ACGCAUUAGAAAUUUUUAUUAUUUAAAACAAUAGGGAAGACAGACUAAAUAAAAUUGGAUUUUAAUUCGAGUAAUUUAUAUCAGUUGUACAAUCAUCACAGUCCCAACAAGAAAUUACAGGGAUAGAGCAUCCGAUUGGAUCAAGAAAAUUUUUCUACCGAGUUUUAUUAAUACAAUUGGAUACUAUGAAAGAUUGAAGAAUUUAUUUAGUACGUAUCAAGCAUCUUCUUCUCAGCAAUACCAUUUCGAAGAGACCGAAUCUAAUUUGAUGUCGGUAAAUAUUUUGAAUGAGUUGAGAAGAGAUGUCUAUAUUGUGCCUAAUCCUGCUUUAGAAGAGAUUGAGGAUUAUUUGGCGGAUUCAGUGGCAAAGACAACAGUGGAUGUUCUUAGCUGGUGGUCUGAAAAUGCCAAGAAAUUUCCAAAAUCAUCCAAUAUGGUUAGAUAUUAUUUAGGGCAACAAACAACAUCUGUUGCCAGCGAAAGAGUAUUUUCUAGAGCUGCCGAUACCUUGACGAACAAACGAAAUAGAAUGUCCUCUUCAACUCUUAAACAAUGCCUCUCGCUAAAUUCAUGGGACAUAAAUAUUUAAAGGAAGACC